UUAUCACACACUUGAUUACUUGACAAUCUCCCUCCUCUCUCUCUCUCUCUCUCUCCUCAACAACUAUUUCUUUUGAUAAUACUUUGGCCUUCUCUCUUAAUCAUCUACUGCCUGCUGGUUAAUCUGGUAAUGAGUCAUUGAGUAUCGAUGCUCCAAGAAAGCUAGUGGCUAUGGAACAGCAUAUUCAUGGUUUACGUCCGUUAUAUGAAGUUCUUCUACCUUUUUUAAGGAAAGCGGCAGUCUCGGUCACCAAAAGGAACCUUUCCUCUUCCCCGCCAUUUCGGUUUAAGAAGAUGAGAAAGCGGAGUUACGUUACGGGCAGACAUUUUAUCAGAGGUUUCACUUGUAUCAAUCUCCCCUUGUUUUCUUGAUCUACCCAAUCGGUCAAGGAAGCUUUUCUGAUGGUAUGCCUCUAGGAAUCUCCGAUGAGAGACGGUGGUUUACCCUGUGGCGGAUGUCAGCGAAUCCAGUCUGCUUAUCUCCAACUCGGCUGGCUAUUCACGGACUGGUUGUACAUACUGUUUCUUUUUUGGGGUACAAUUGCUCAGGAUACCCUUUUUUAGCUUCUAGAGUCUAUUUUCUUCAUGUUGGUUCAGACGUUUAGUAGUGUUUGAGGAUAAACUUGGUAUGGAGGACCGCGUGUUCGAUCCCUCGCAACAAAAAUUCGGAAGGGACUGAAACCUAUCCACCUAGAACUCGCCCUGAAUCCGGAUUAGCUCUAAGGGUAAACCGGGUGAUAACACAAAAGAAAAAUUUAUUAGUGAUCAAAGUUGUACAUUAGCAAAUGCAUGCUCGAGUCAAAGUUAUGCAUUUUUUCAGAAAUAGAGGGAAUACUUUGUAAUACGUGUA